AUUGAACGCUGGCGGCAGGCUUAACACAUGCAAGUCGAGCGGGGACUUCGGUCCUAGCGGCGAACGGGUGAGGAAUGCUUGGGAAUCUGCCCAGUAGCGGGGGAUAACGUUUCGAAAGGAACGCUAAUACCGCAUACGCCCUACGGGGGAAAGGGGGGGAUCUUCGGACCUCUCACUAUUGGAUGAGCCCAAGUCGGAUUAGCUAGUUGGUGGGGUAAAGGCCUACCAAGGCGACGAUCCGUAGCUGGUCUGAGAGGAUGAUCAGCCACACUGGAACUGAGACACGGUCCAGACGCCUACGGGAGGCAGCAGUGGGGAAUAUUGGACAAUGGGCGAAAGCCUGAUCCAGCCAUGCCGCGUGUGUGAAGAAGGCCUUCGGGUUGUAAAGCACUUUAAGCGAGGAGGAAUGGCUGAGGGUUAAUAACCUUCAGCAGUGACGUUACUCGCAGAAUAAGCACCGGCUAACUCUGUGCCAGCCGCCGCCGUAAAAC
rnacentral:rRNA from 1 species